CACACACACACACACACACACACACACACACACACACACACUUCAGGAAAUCUGCAACAUUUCGGUCUGAUCUGAUCUUUCUUCUGUCGGGACGUUUUGAUAGUUGUAGUUUUUUGGUAAACGUCUUCACGGUUUAAGGAAACAAAAAUCAGGACUUUAAAAAAGUUCAACUCUUCAGGGACCAAACCUCCUCCACCAGCAGCUCCUCAGACCCGGGUCCGGACCCCGUCAGGGCUUUAAAAAGAAACUAACGAGAUCCGGCGCUGCCAAACGAGCACUUCCUGUUUGGACUUUGUGAGACGGUUCUUCAGAUUCUGGCCGGUCUGGAACCAGCAGACGGAUCUUCAGCCAUGUUUUUUAAGUUUCGGGGCGGUGGUAGGCGCCGCCGCUCCAGGUGCUACAGGUCUGACGAGUUUCAGAACCAGCUUCCUCUUAACUCAACUGUCGUUGUUCAACGAGUUCCCAUCAUGCCUCAGCGGGUCCUUUCAGUUUGAAUCUGGUUUAGUUAGUGUCUUACCUGCUGCAGACGACUGUUCAGAAACAAGUUUAAUUCUGGCUCGGCCCACAGUGAGCUCAACAUGGAUCAGACCCAGAAACAUGGUUCACGUCAAACAGUUUUAUAAACCUGGAGUGCUACAGCUAGCUGCUGCUGCUACUUACCAAUUACUGUGAGACGAGGAACCUGAUUGUAGGAUUUCUCAGCUUCGGAUGAGUCAAAACAUUUUUUGGUGUAAAAGAUUAAAAAAAAACAUUAAAUCAAAAAAUGUUUGUUUUUUUAAAAAAGGCAGAAAAUUUAAAUUGAUAAAAAUUUAAUUCUUGUUAAAGGUUAAACUCAAAAAAGCUAUCUGCUGCAGGUAAGAUACUGAUGAUUUUAGAGUUCUACCUCAGAUUGUCUGAACUCGAAGAUGAAAAUUUUUUAAAAUAUCAGGAUUUUGAGCCAAUUUARAGGUUUAAAUAAAAUAUUUGCUUCAUUUAAUUAAAAAAAGUUAAUCUUAUUUAUAAUAAUUGUAAAAUAAUUUUUUCCUGUAAAAGUUUAAAAAAGUUCAGGUUUUUGUGAACAAACUUUCAGUUUCUGCAGAAUCCUCGGGAGGUUCUGUUGGGUCCAGAUAUUUCAGAAUCAGAGCUGAGGGAUGAUGGGAAGUCUCUGCCGUGCCUUCUGUCUUCAUCAGAACGCCCCCCCUCCCCCCUCAGGAGGUUCUGUUGGGUCAGAACCUUAGAACCUGCACUGCCUCGUCUCUCAGCAUUCCUCUGGUGCUCACAGGUCCAAACCUGAGAGACUCUUAGAAACAGAAUCUAUUUUUUAAACCUCCUGGUUCUAAUUUAUUACAACCCUCAGACGCCUCGUUGGGUUUUUCCAGAACCGACUGGACCUCAGAGGUUCUGACUCCUGGUGCUUCACUCGUCUGAGGACAAACCUUUCCUUUGAUCAGAUUAGACUCGCAGGUUCUGAUCCGAGGGCCGGGUACCGAGCCCAGGUGCAUGCUGGGAAAUCAAACACCUGAAACUCUGCGGCGUUACCCGGCCAGAACCUUCAGGUUCAGGUUCUCCUUCCUGCUUUAGAUCCUGACAGGUGCUGAUGUUUGUCUUGUUUUCAGGAUGAUGUUUAAUUAAAAUGUUCUGAAAUCUGAA